rnacentral:rRNA from 1 species
GACGAACGCUGGGCGGCGUGCUUAACACAUGCAAGUCGAACGGAGUUACGUAUGAAGUAUUUCGGUACGGACUAUGUAACUUAGUGGCGAACGGGUGAGUAACACGUGGGCAACCUGCCCUUAACCGGGGGAUAACAUUGUGAAAACAGUGCUAAUACCGCAUAACAGAGUAUCGGGCAUCCGAUAUUUUAAAAGGAGCAAUCCGGUUUAGGAUGGGCCCGCGUCCAAUUAGCUAGUUGGUGAGGUAACGGCUCACCAAGGCUACGAUUGGUAGCCGAACUGAGAGGUUGAUCGGCCACAUUGGGACUGAGACACGGCCCAGACUCCUACGGGAGGCAGCAGUGGGGAAUAUUGGGCAAUGGGCGAAAGCCUGACCCAGCGACGCCGCGUGAAGGAUGAAGGUCUUCGGAUUGUAAACUUCUUUGAUCAGGGAAGAAAGAAAUGACGGUACCUGAAGAACAAGCCACGGCUAACUACGUG